CAGUUGAGCGCUGAAGGUUGGUACUUGUACCGACUGGAUGAGCAGCGAACGGGUGAGUAACGCGUGGGGAAUCUGCCUUUGAGCGGGGGACAACAUUUGGAAACGAAUGCUAAUACCGCAUAAAAACUUUAAACACAAGUUUUAAGUUUGAAAGAUGCAAUUGCAUCACUCAAAGAUGAUCCCGCGUUGUAUUAGCUAGUUGGUGAGGUAAAGGCUCACCAAGGCGAUGAUACAUAGCCGACCUGAGAGGGUGAUCGGCCACAUUGGGACUGAGACACGGCCCAAACUCCUACGGGAGGCAGCAGUAGGGAAUCUUCGGCAAUGGACGAAAGUCUGACCGAGCAACGCCGCGUGAGUGAAGAAGGUUUUCGGAUCGUAAAACUCUGUUGGUAGAGAAGAACGUUGGUGAGAGUGGAAAGCUCAUCAAGUGACGGUAACUACCCAGAAAGGGACGGCUAACUACGUGCCAGCAGCCGCGGUAAUACGUAGGUCCCGAGCGUUGUCCGGAUUUAUUGGGCGUAAAGCGAGCGCAGGUGGUUUAUUAAGUCUGGUGUAAAAGGCAGUGGCUCAACCAUUGUAUGCAUUGGAAACUGGUAGACUUGAGUGCAGGAGAGGAGAGUGGAAUUCCAUGUGUAGCGGUGAAAUGCGUAGAUAUAUGGAGGAACACCGGUGGCGAAAGCGGCUCUCUGGCCUGUAACUGACACUGAGGCUCGAAAGCGUGGGGAGCAAACAGGAUUAGAUACCCUGGUAGUCCACGCCGUAAACGAUGAGUACUAGGUGUUGGCCCUAAG
rnacentral:rRNA from 1 species